rnacentral:rRNA from 1 species
UAGGGAAUAUUGCAAAAUGGGCGAAAGCCCGAUGCAGCAACGCCGCGUGGGCGAUGAAGGCCUUCGGGUCGUAAAGCCCUUUUUGAGGGGAUGAGGAAGGACAGUACCCUCAGAAUAAGCCUCGGCUAACUACGUGCCAGCAGCCGCGGUAAAACGUAGGAGGCGAGCGUUAUCCGGAUUUCCUGGGCGUAACGCGCGUGCAGGCGGAUUGGAGAGUUGGAUGUGAAAGCUCCCGGCUUAACUGGGAGAGGUCGUUCAAUACUUCCAGUCUUGAGUUCAGUAGAGGGAAGUGGAAUUCCGGUUGUAGUGGUGAAGUGCGUAGAUAUCCGGAGGAAGACCAGUGGCGAAAGCGGCUUCCUGGACUGUAACUGACGCUCAGACGCGAAAGCUAGGGUAGCAAACG